rnacentral:rRNA from 1 species
AGAGUUUGAUCCUGGCUCAGAACGAACGCUGGCGGCGUGGAUAAGACAUGCAAGUCGAACGAGAGAAUUGCUAGCUUGCUAAUAAUUCUCUAGUGGCGCACGGGUGAGUAACACGUGAGUAACCUGCCCCCGAGAGCGGGAUAGCCCUGGGAAACUGGGAUUAAUACCGCAUAGAAUCGCAAGAUUAAAGCAGCAAUGCGCUUGGGGAUGGGCUCGCGGCCUAUUAGUUAGUUGGUGAGGUAACGGCUCACCAAGGCGAUGACGGGUAGCCGGUCUGAGAGGAUGUCCGGCCACACUGGAACUGAGACACGGUCCAGACACCUACGGGUGGCAGCAGUCGAGAAUCAUUCACAAUGGGGGAAACCCUGAUGGUGCGACGCCGCGUGGGGGAAUGAAGGUCUUCGGAUUGUAAACCCCUGUCAUGUGGGAGCAAAUUAAAAAGAUAGUACCACAAGAGGAAGAGACGGCUAACUCUGUGCCAGCAGCCGCGGUAAUACAGAGGUCUCAAGCGUUGUUCGGAAUCACUGGGCGUAAAGCGUGCGUAGGCUGUUUCGUAAGUCGUGUGUGAAAGGCGCGGGCUCAACCCGCGGACGGCACAUGAUACUGCGAGACUAGAGUAAUGGAGGGGGAACCGGAAUUCUCGGUGUAGCAGUGAAAUGCGUAGAUAUCGAGAGGAACACUCGUGGCGAAGGCGGGUUCCUGGACAUUAACUGACGCUGAGGCACGAAGGCCAGGGGAGCGAAAGGGAUUAGAUACCCCUGUAGUCCUGGCAGUAAACGGUGCACGCUUGGUGUGCGGGGAAUCGACCCCCUGCGUGCCG